rnacentral:lncRNA from 1 species
UGGCUGGAGAGGAUGACCUUGGCACCGUUGUCGACGAGGUACUUGAUGGUGGGGAUGGCCGCCCUGAUACGGGUGUCGUCAGUGAUGUUCCGGCUCUCGUCGAGGGGAACGUUGAGAUCGGCCCUGACGAACACCUUCUUCCCCUUGAGGUCCGCCCCUGUCAGAUCCCCCACGCUCUUCUUCGCCAUGGAGACCACCCCUCGUGGGCCUCUCCCCGCGGGUCCUGCAACCUCCCUCACCCUCGAGGCGACGUUCAGGGCCAGGCACGGGUCGGCGGCGGCGCCGGCGAAGCCCAGCCGCCGGAGGGGGCUCUUGAGGGCGAGCCCAGCGCGCGCCGGGGAGACGCCGACGGCAUUGCGGCGGGAGGAUGAGGAGGAAGACGAAGGGAGGAGGGAGAGGGAGCUGGGUGCCGCAGCUGCCAUGGCGGGUCUCCUGGAGAGAGGGAGAGAGAGAGGAGAGAAGCUAGCCGGAGCCUGCUGCCGCUGCUGACCGGGGUGGAGACGAGGGGCAGAGGAGCCACGGGUAGUCUUAUUCCUUCAAUUUUGAUCUGAAUUUCGGAUUCUCCCUGGUUUUGUGGAUGAGAG